rnacentral:misc_RNA from 1 species
GACUAACCUUGUCAUUUUGCGGACUCUGCUCCACACUUGGCACCUUCUUCACACCGCUCGCCGUCACUUAUAGCUUUUACCUCGUCGUUUUCUGCCGUGUUCUUCAGGGAAUCGGGAUAAGUGUGAUUCUGACAGUUCUCGGUGUAAUUCCUUCAUAUUGGUCGCCAAAAACCGAAUACAGUACCUAUUUGGCGAUAUUAUCGUGUGCCUGGCAGUUUUCAAAUGUGAUUUUCAUGCCGAUUUCGGGGAUUUUGUGCGAUUCUUCGUUCGGUUGGCGGUCGAUUUAUUAUGUUUUCGGCGUGGCUACUGGGUUUUUUUAUUUCGUGUUUUUCAUGUUUUACACGGAUAUUCCCGGAAUUCAUAAAAACGUCUCCGAAAAAGAGCUCGGCCAAAUCGUCGAAGGAAAACCCGAGCACACUGUCCGUGAAGCCGUCCCAUACUGGAAAAUUUGCACAGACCGCUGUGUUCUGUCUGCGUGGGUGAGCUUCCUUGGCGGAAACCUCGGCUUCAUCACCCUGCUUCUGUACGGACCAACUUAUCUUCGAGAAGUUCUGCAAUUCGAUGUGAGGUCGACUGGAUAUAUCAACGCGUUACCGUAUGCUCUUUGUGCGAUCUAUAAAUUUGGCGCCGGCAAAAUUUCGGACCGGGUUACUUUUGCCAGUGAUAAGGCAAUCUACACAUUCUGGCUCUUCUCCUCGAUCAUCGGACUCGGCAUCGGCUACAUAAUCAUGGCGUGGACUUCCGACCGAAACGUGGCCUUCGUUGCAUUUGCCUUUGCCGUUGUCACGUCCGGUCUUAUCAUAAUGGCAUGUGUCAAGUGCCUGGCAAUGAGAUGUCAGCAGCAUUGUCACUUUGCUGUCAGUGCGAUCUCCUUCCUGUCGUACUGUGUUCAGUUCAUCUCGCCGUUAGGAGUCGGCAUUUUGUGUCCGGAUAAUACGCCAGAUCAGUGGUCACGCCUGUUCAUCAUCAUCACCCUUAUCAUGAUUAUCACCAACGCUCCAUUCCCAUGGUUGACCACUCAACAAGCCGCUAAUUAUACGAAACGAAAAGAUCCAAAGGCAUUCGAGAAGUGUUAG